rnacentral:rRNA from 1 species
UGGGGAAUUUUNNNNCAAUGGGCGCAAGCCUGAUCCAGCCAUGCCGCGUGUCUGAAGAAGGCCUUCGGGUUGUAAAGGACUUUUGUCAGAGAAGAAAAGGCUGUUGCUAAUAUCGACAGCUGAUGACGGUACCUGAAGAAUAAGCACCGGCUGACUACGUGCCAGCAGCCGCGGUAAUACGUAGGGUGCGAGCGUUAAUCGGAAUUACUGGGCGUAAAGCNNNNNCAGACGGUUACUUAAGCAGGAUGUGAAAUCCCCGGGCUCAACCUGGGAACUGCGUUCUGAACUGGGUGACUAGAGUGUGUCAGAGGNAGGUAGAAUUCCACGUGUAGCAGUGAAAUGCGUAGAGAUGUGGAGGAAUACCGAUGGCGAAGGCAGCCUCCUGGGAUAACACUGACGUUCAUGCUCGAAAGCNNGGGUAGCAAACAGGAUUAGAUACCCUGGUAGUCCACGCCCUAAACGAUGUCAAUUAGCUGUUGGGCAACUUGAUUGCUUAGUAGCGUAGCUAACGCGUGAAAUUGACCGCCUGGGGAGUACGGUCGCAAGAUUA